AGGCUUAACACAUGCAAGUCGAGCGGGCAUAGCAAUAUGUCAGCGGCAGACGGGUGAGUAACGCGUGGGAACGUACCUUUUGGUUCGGAACAACUGAGGGAAACUUCAGCUAAUACCGGAUAAGCCCUUACGGGGAAAGAUUUAUCGCCGAAAGAUCGGCCCGCGUCUGAUUAGCUAGUUGGUGAGGUAAUGGCUCACCAAGGCGACGAUCAGUAGCUGGUCUGAGAGGAUGAUCAGCCACAUUGGGACUGAGACACGGCCCAAACUCCUACGGGAGGCAGCAGUGGGGAAUAUUGGACAAUGGGCGCAAGCCUGAUCCAGCCAUGCCGCGUGAGUGAUGAAGGCCCUAGGGUUGUAAAGCUCUUUUGUGCGGGAAGAUAAUGACGGUACCGCAAGAAUAAGCCCCGGCUAACUUCGUGCCAGCAGCCGCGGUAAUACGAAGGGGGCUAGCGUUGCUCGGAAUCACUGGGCGUAAAGGGUGC
rnacentral:rRNA from 1 species